UCCCGUAGUGUACACUAAUUCAUCUUUAUUCCAAAUCCCCAGGUGUCCAAUCGUGAACCAAAACACAGAAAACCCAGAAGCAAUCUCUCUGUUUCAACAAUAUUUCUAUACCCUCCUCUUUCUCUUCUCAAAUUAUAUUAUUUGUUCCGUGAUUCAUCGAUCGGACGGCUGUAAUUUCUCCAAUCAUGACGAUGAUGGCUCCUCAACCUUUGGAUCAACAGGAAGACGAAGAGAUGCUGGUGCCAAACUCAGAUUUAGUUGAAGGUCCUCAGCCUUUAGUAGAAACUCCUCAGCCUAUGGAAGUGGCACCAACGAACAAUGCUGGGGCAACGGAAAACCAGGCAAGUGAUGAGCCACAAGCAUCACGGUUCACAUGGGCGAUUGAGAACUUUUCUCGCUUGAAUGUGAAGAAGCUCUAUUCUGAGGUUUUUGUCGUUGGAGGUUAUAAAUGGCGGGUGCUUAUUUUUCCGAAAGGAAACAACGUGGAGCACUUGUCAAUGUAUUUAGAUGUGGCCGAUUCAGCAACCUUGCCAUUUGGUUGGACUAGAUAUGCACAGUUUAGCUUGGCUAUUAUCAACCAAAUCCAUAGCAAGUAUACUAUAAAAAAGGACACACAGCACCAGUUCAGUCAAAGGGAGAGUGAUUGGGGUUUCACUUCUUUCAUGCCUCUCAGUGAGCUUUAUGACCCCAGUAAGGGGUAUCUCAUUAAUGAUACAUGUGUUGUGCAAGCUGAUGUUGCUGUCCGGAAGGUCAUUGAUUACUUGACAUAUGACUCGAAGAAGGAGACUGGUUAUGUUGGACUUAAGAAUCAAGGAGCAACUUGUUACAUGAACUCUCUCCUCCAAACAUUGUACCACAUCCCUUAUUUCAGAAAGGCUGUGUAUCAUAUGCCCACGACAGAGAAUGAUAUGCCCUCGGGGAGCAUACCUUUGGCCUUACAGAGUUUAUUCUAUAAGCUCCAAUAUAAUGACACCAGUGUGGCUACAAAAGAAUUGACUAAAUCUUUUGGAUGGGACACAUAUGAUUCCUUUAUGCAGCAUGAUGUACAAGAACUUAAUAGAGUUUUGUGUGAAAAGCUUGAAGACAAGAUGAAGGGAACUGUUGUUGAAGGGACAAUACAAAAGUUGUUUGAAGGGAACAACAUGAACUACAUCGAAUGUAUCAAUGUAGACUUCAAGUCUACCCGAAAAGAAUCAUUUUAUGACCUUCAACUGGAUGUCAAAGGCUGCAAGGAUAUCUAUGCCUCCUUUGACAAAUACGUGGAAGUUGAACGUCUUGAAGGAGAUAAUAAAUAUCAUGCCGAAGAACAUGGUUUGCAGGAUGCCAAGAAGGGGGUCUUGUUCAUUGACUUCCCUCCAGUUCUUCAGCUUCAGCUUAAGCGCUUUGAAUAUGAUUUUAUGAGAGACAUAAUGGUUAAGAUAAAUGACCGCUAUGAAUUUCCACUGGAACUUGACCUUGAUAGAGACAAUGGUAAAUAUUUGUCGCCUGAUGCAGAUAGGAGCGUACGUAACCUUUACAUGCUCCAUAGUGUUCUGGUUCAUAGUGGUGGGGUGCAUGGUGGACAUUAUUAUGCUUUCAUCAGGCCAACCCUUUCUGAUCAGUGGUACAAAUUUGAUGAUGAGAGGGUCACUAAAGAAGAUACAAAGAGAGCAUUAGAGGAGCAGUAUGGCGGUGAGGAAGAGUUGCCGCAGACAAAUCCUGGUUUCUAUAACACUCCAUUUAAAUUUACGAAAUACUCAAAUGCCUACAUGCUUGUGUAUAUACGUGUGAGCGACAAGGAUAAGAUAAUCUGUGAUGUGGAUGAGAAGGACAUUGCGGAACAUCUUAGGAUAAGACUGAAAAAAGAACAAGAACAGAAGGAAGACAAGAGAAGAUAUAAAGCUCAGGCCCACCUUUAUACUAAUAUCAAGGUUGCUCGAGACGUGGAUUUAAGGGAACAGAUUGGGAAGGAUAUAUUUUUUGAUCUCGUUGAUCAUGAUAAAGUCCAUAGUUUUCGAAUUCAGAAACAGAUACCUUUUAAUCUUUUCAAGGAGGAGGUCGCCAAAGAAUUUGGUAUACCAGUCCAAUUUCAGCGUUUUUGGAUUUGGGCAAAGAGACAGAACCAUACUUAUCGUCCAAACCGUCCAUUGAACCCACAGGAGGAAGCACAGACUGUCGGAGCAUUGAGAGAAGUUUCUAAUAAGGCCCACAAUGCAGAUCUGAAGUUGUUUUUGGAAAUAGAAUUUGGACAGGAUCUACAUCCAAUUCCACCACCUGACAAAAGUAAAGAAGAUAUUCUUCUGUUCUUUAAGCUUUAUGAUCCCGAUAAAGAAGAGCUCCGGUAUGUUGGUAGGCUUUUUGUCAAAGGCUCUAGCAAGCCAAUUGAGAUCCUGACAAAACUAAAUGAAUUGGCUGGAUUUGCUUCUGAUGAAGAGAUUGAACUUUUCGAGGAAAUAAAAUUUGAGCCUUCUGUCAUGUGUGAGCGCCUUGACAAACGAGCUUCAUUUCGGUUUAGCCAGAUUGAAGAUGGGGACAUCAUUUGCUUCCAGAAAAAGCCUCUCCCUGAAAGUGAAGAAAAAUUGCGAUUUCCUGAUGUUCCUUCUUUUUUGGAAUAUGUGAAAAAUCGCCAGAUUGUCCAUUUUCGAGCUUUGGAGAGACCCAAGGAAGAUGAAUUCUGCCUAGAGUUGGCAAAGAACCACACUUACGAUGAUGUUGUGGAAAGGCUGGCGCAACGUCUCGGCUUGGAUGAUCCAUCUAAAAUUCGGCUUACUACUCAUAAUUGCUAUUCUCAGCAACCAAAGCCUACUCCCAUCAAAUACAGAUCAGUUGAUCAGUUGAUAGACAUGCUUGUGCACUACAAUCAGAUCUCUGAUAUUCUUUAUUAUGAAGUACUGGACAUUCCUCUGCCACAAUUACAAUGCCUCAAAACACUGAAAGUUGCUUUUCACUCUGCCACAAAGGAUGAGGCUGUAAUUCUCAAUAUAAGGUUACCAAAACAGGGUACAGUGGGAGAUGUGCUUAAUGUGAUAAAAGAAAAGGUUGAGUUGUCACAUCCAAAUGCCGAACUUAGGUUGCUUGAAGUUUUCUAUCACAAAAUUUAUAAGGCUUGUCAUAUGCAGACUUGUAGAGUUGGAUUUCUGUAUUUUGUUACUUUACUAUAGAUCUUUCCUUUCAAUGAAAAGAUUGAGAAUAUAAACGACCAAUACUGGACCUUGCGGGCUGAGGAGAUUCCAGAAGAAGAGAAGAACCUCGGUCCAAAUGACCGCUUGAUUCAUGUUUACCAUUUUACGAAAGAGAGUGCUCAGAAUCAAGUGCAAAUCCAAAAUUUCGGGGAACCCUUCUUCUUGGUUAUUCAUGAAGGUGAAAUGCUGUCAGAUAUUAAAUUGCGCAUUCAAAAGAAAUUACAGGUUCCAGACGAGGAGUUUUCUAAGUGGAAGUUUGCUGCAUUGUCACUGGGUCGUCCAGAGUAUCUUGAAGACUCUGACAUUGUGUCCAGUCGUUUUCAGAGAAGGGACGUUUACGGUGCUUGGGAGCAGUACCUUGGGUUAGAGCACUCUGAUACUACUCCAAAGAGGGUGUAUACUGCAAACCAGAACCGACAUACAUUUGAGAAGCCUGUCAAAAUAUUCAAUUAAGAAGAAAUAAAUAUGCUUGCUAGAGGACAAUCUGAAGACUGGGACACUGAAAGGAGAAUGAAAGGCAGAAAAGGAAUAGCGUGGUAGUUUUCUUUCUCCCCUAGUUUUUCCGCGACGGUUUCUUAGGCUAUAAUCAUUGAUUUAGCAUGGGGAAAAGGGGGCCUUGACUCCCAAAUGUAUCUUGCUUCUUAUGGUUGGUACGAACUUCCUUUUUUGCCAGUAUUUUCAAGGUGCUUCCCAGCGUUGAAAAAUCCGGGAAUUUUGUAUGGUUUUGUGUAAUUUAUGAUACGUAUCUACAUUUUGGUUGUAUAGUGGCUAUAGUUAAGCCUUUAAUAAUCCAGCUUUUUGUCCUCUUAUU